GACGAACGCUGGCGGCGUGCCUAAUACAUGCAAGUAGAACGCUGAAGGAGGAGCUUGCUUCUCUGGAUGAGUUGCGAACGGGUGAGUAACGCGUAGGUAACCUGCCUGGUAGCGGGGGAUAACUAUUGGAAACGAUAGCUAAUACCGCAUAAUAGUAGAUGUUGCAUGACAUUUGCUUAAAAGGUGCAAUUGCAUCACUACCGGAUGGACCUGCGUUGUAUUAGCUAGUUGGUGGGGUAACGGCUCACCAAGGCGACGAUACAUAGCCGACCUGAGAGGGUGAUCGGCCACACUGGGACUGAGACACGGCCCAGACUCCUACGGGAGGCAGCAGUAGGGAAUCUUCGGCAAUGGACGGAAGUCUGACCGAGCAACGCCGCGUGAGUGAAGAAGGUUUUCGGAUCGUAGAGCUCUGUUGUAAGAGAAGAACGAGUGUGAGAGUGGAAAGUUCACACUGUGACGGUAUCUUACCAGAAAGGGACGGCUAACUACGUG
rnacentral:rRNA from 1 species